rnacentral:misc_RNA from 1 species
GAUGAAGAACGUAGCGAAAUGCGAUACGUAAUGUGAAUUGCAGAAUUCAGUGAAUCAUCGAAUCUUUGAACGCAUAUUGCGCUCUCUGGUAUUCCGGAGAGCAUGCUUGUUUGAGUAUCAGUAAACACCUCAACUUCCAUAUCUUUUUUGAAAUGGGAGUUGGACUUGAGUGAUCCCAACGCUUUUCCUCACCGAAAAGUGGCGGGUUACUUGAAAUGCAGGUGCAGCUGGACUUUUCUCUGAGCUAUAAGCAUAUCUAUUUAGUCUGCCUAAAAAACAGAUUAUUACCUUUGCUGCAGCUAACAUAAAGGAGAUUAGUUCUUGUGAUGAAUGAUGCAGGAUUCACAAAGACAGGCUUCGGCCGACUUUGUAAACUCGAUCUCAAAUCAAGUAAGAAUACCCGCUGAACUUAAGCAUAUCAAUAAGCGGAGGA